GUGCCAGCCGCCGCGGUAAUACGGAGGGUGCAAGCGUUAUCCGGAAUCAUUGGGUUUAAAGGGUCCGCAGGCGGAUAUAUAAGUCAGUGGUGAAAGCCUACAGCUUAACUGUAGAACUGCCAUUGAAACUGUAUGUCUUGAAUUCGAUCGAAGUGGGCGGAAUGUGUCAUGUAGCGGUGAAAUGCAUAGAUAUGACACAGAACACCGAUAGCGAAGGCAGCUCACUAGGUCUGAAUUGACGCUCAGGGACGAAAGCGUGGGGAGCGAACAGGAUUAGAUACCCGAGUAGUCC
rnacentral:rRNA from 1 species